rnacentral:lncRNA from 1 species
GUCUGGAAGCGGAGUUGCUGGUGUUCUCUCCCUUUCGCUCAGCAUCUUCGAUACAACACUGCUAUUUUCAACUGAGCCCCGGAGAUGACAUCGAGAUAUCUCGAAAAACGAAUCCUUUUUUUGUUUUACACAAAAGUUCUUUAUAAGAGUCUACGAUUAAUCGACACAACCAUGCCACCAUGGUUGUGACGGGAAAGAGUCACAGAAAGAGGAGGACGAGGAGGAAGAGGAGUCAACAGAGGAAGAGAUGGAGGCCAUGCUGGAGGUAGAAGAAGAGGAAGACGAAGACAAGAAGGUGCUCA